rnacentral:tRNA from 1 species
UAUUAAUUAGUUUAAGUAAAACAUAAAUUUUGUAAAUUUAAGAAGGAUUAAAUAA